rnacentral:rRNA from 1 species
AGCGCAGGCGGUGCGGCAAGUCUGAUGUGAAAGCCCGGGGCUCAACCCCGGUACUGCAUUGGAAACUGUCGUACUAGAGUGUCGGAGGGGUAAGCGGAAUUCCUAGUGUAGCGGUGAAAUGCGUAGAUAUUAGGAGGAACACCAGUGGCGAAGGCGGCUUACUGGACUGUUACUGACACUGAGGCACGAAAGCGUGGGGAGCAAACA